rnacentral:lncRNA from 1 species
UAUAGAACCACUUGAACCUUUCCUCUUGUUCUUUUAUUCUUCUAAUUUCAUCGUCUGUUAUCUUAAUAAGACAAGUCAUAACAAUAGUCACAAUAAUCUGAAAAAUCAACUUUGAGUUUAUGAUGCUUUAUAUGCUAAUAUAUACAUGUUUAUAUUUGUUGAUUGUUAUGAUUAUAUUUGAUACUAUAAUGUCAUAUAAUUUAUGCUAAUAAUGUAUUUUUUAGCCCUUUUUAUGGCUAGAAUUAACAUAUUCUUAUGCAGAAUGAGUUUGAAAUAAAAAAAUAAGAAAUAUUAACUGCUCAAAGUGCAUCAAUUGUGGAAGGAGGAUGAGAAAGGAAUUUGACUUGUUGAUGAAGCAUGUAUACAAGAAAUCAUCUUCAAAUGAUAAACGCCCAUCUCAAGAAGACAACUAAGCUUAUGAGAAGUAAAGUGAUUCUGACCCUG